rnacentral:misc_RNA from 1 species
AAUUCAUCGAGAUCGUUUUCGUCGCCUGUAGUCGGUGGAUUAUUCGGAAAUCAACGGAGUAAUUCGAGGAGGCCGAUGGCGUUGAUAGGAUUAACAAGAACUCCGUCGAGAAUGGAGCUGAGCGAGAUUCGGAAGAGACAGGCUCGGCUGGCGCCGGCGCCGAUGUUCCACGUGGUUCCGGGGGAGAAUACGGUAACUGCCGCCGUCGAUGGCGCCGGCAACGGAAUCAGCCCGUGGAGGCUGAUUAAGCCUCUCAGGUAUAGGUCCGUUGUGGUUAGGGUGUUGGCUAAGGCGGCUUCGACUUGUAUAGCUCAUGUGUGACUG